AAUGGGAGAACCCUAACCAAGUCUGGACAUCCCUGUAACAAGCUUGUAAAGGGUCCUUCUUUUCGGAAAAUGGAUAACAGGUGGUCCAGGGUGGUGUUCAGCUGGGGUCUGAAGAUUUUGGGUUAAUUCCCGCAACAAGCGCAACCCUUUUCUUUAGUACCCAGCGGUUAAGCUGGGCACUCUAGGGAGACUGCCAGGGAUAACCUGGAGGAAGGUGGGGAUGACGUCAAAUCAUCAUGCCCCUUAUGACUUGGGCUACACACGUGCUACAAUGGCGUAAACAAAGGGAAGCGAACCCGUGAGGGCGAGCAAAUCCCAAAAAUAACGUCUCAGUUCGGAUUGUAGUCUGCAACUCGACUACAUGAAGCUGGAAUCGCUAGUAAUCGCGGAUCAG
rnacentral:rRNA from 1 species